UACGUAGGGGGCUAGCGUUGUCCGGAAUCAUUGGGCGUAAAGAGCGCGUAGGCGGCUAGAUAAGUCCGGUGUGAAAGUCACAGGCUCAACCUGUGAAUGCCGCUGGAAACUGUCUGGCUAGAGUCCGGAAGGGGCGAGUGGAAUUCCUGGUGUAGCGGUGAAAUGCGCAGAUAUCAGGAGGAACACCGAUGGCGAAGGCAGGUCACUGGGCCGCAACUGACGCUGAGGAGCGAAAGCAUGGGGAGCGAACAGG
rnacentral:rRNA from 1 species